AGAGAAUUGCAGUGAAGAAGCCUGAAGAUGCAAGAGUGAGCGAGAAGGGAGGGAGUAUGAGAGUAGCCAAGGCAAAAGUUCUAGAGAGGAAAGAAUCCUUCUCUACACCCAAGUUCCACAUCAGCCCCACCGGAAUGAUCAUGGAAGGAGCUCAGCUCCACAUUAAGUGCACCAUUCAAGUGACUCACCUGGCCCAGGAGUUUCCAGAAAUCAUAAUUCAGAAGGACAAGGCGAUUGUGGCUCAUAGCAGACACAACAACGAGGCUGUGUACUCAGUCAUGGCCAUGGUGGAGCACAAUGGCAACUACACGUGCAAAGUGGAGUCCAGCCGCAUAUCCAAGGUCAGCAGCAUCGUCGUCAACAUAACAGAACUAUUUUCCAAGCCCGAACUGGAACCUUCCUUCACACGUCUGGACGAAGGUGAAAGACUGAACCUGUCCUGCUCCAUCCCAGGAGCACCUCCAGCCAACUUCACCAUCCA
rnacentral:sRNA from 1 species